CUGCUCGCAUCAGCAGCACGUAUACUAAAAUAGGAAUGAUACAGAGACGAUUAGCAUGGCCCCCGCACAAGGAUGACAUGAAAAUUCAUGAAGUGUUCCAUAUUAUU
rnacentral:snRNA from 1 species